rnacentral:rRNA from 1 species
GACGAACGCUGGCGGCGUGCCUAAUACAUGCAAGUAGAACGCAGUUCCGAACGGUUGAGUAACGCGUAGGUAACUGCCUCAUAGCGGGGGACACUUCUUGGAAACGAUAGCUAAUACCGCAUACUGUGAGAUGGACUUGCGUUGUAUUCGCUAGUUGGUGAGGGAAAGGUUAACCAAGGCGACGGUACAUGGCCGACCUGAGAGGGUGAGCGGCCACACUGGGACUGAGACACGGGCCAGACUCCUACGGGGGGAAGCAGUAGAGAAUCUUCGGCAAGAGACGGAAGGUGUACCGGGCAACGCCGCGUGAGUGAAGAAGGUUUUCGGAUCGUAAAGAUCUGUUGUUAGAGAAGCGGUAACUAACCAGUAAGGGACGGCUAACUACGUGCCAGUAGCCGCGGUAAUAC